AAGUAGCAGAGCUCCGAAUCGGCCUUUAUUCAAAAAGAAUUCGGUCAGGCCUUAUUAACUUCACCGGACACAAAACCUCAGUUAGUACGCUUAUACAACAAAGUUGAGGCUCAGACAUGAGCCCUCAGACCUCCUCAUUGUACGCCGGUGGUCGAGUCAUGUUUUACACCUGGAACAAGCUUGUUAAGUCGGUAGUGGAUGAGCCUUCAGACCUCCUCAUUGUACGCCGGUAAACGGCAAACAACCUUGUUUGCGUCGUUGACAUAUCUAGUAAAGAAAGGGUGGUUGAGAGGCACGUGUUCUCAACGUUUAGGCAGGUUAUCCCGCGUCGCAAAAGCAGUUAAACGGGUGCAAAAGUCAGAGAUAACAUCGCAAGUAAUUUGAUUAAGAGCUGACGUAGACUGAAAGGGAAUGGGCUCCGUUUCUCGUUGGGAUGUCUCAAAUGUUACAACGAGGGCCGAGCGACGUAAGCCUGCUAAUCCAGCACAAGAUGUAAUAACGAUGACAUAACAAUCUAAACAACACAACGACUUAAAUAGUUAUCCAGAGCCUAGGCGGCGCCGGAAGGUCGUACAUUAUCCAUAUCCAAAAUGAUUGUCCACGAGUAAAGUUAACGACUUAACAACUAACGCGAAAACCUAACAUGCCCCCCUGCUUAGCACAAGCAUCGGCCUCGAUGCGAUCAAAAGUACAAAGUAAACUAGAUCGUGCGCCACUCCGAUUCCCUGAACGAAAUCGGUACCAGGCUGACGAGGGGAAGGCAAAAGGGAACCGGAGUCAAGGCAAAACCUUCCCCGCACUGGAUACCGGCCUAAAUAAGGCUCACGACACCUAUACCUGCCGGUCUAAGGAACCGGGAUAUAACCAAACGAACGUGCCCAAAACAUCCACAAAGAGUACGCAAACCAUAGGCCUAAGGCACAGCAAAGCAAACUUGGUGAAUGGCAAAAUAACGCAAGAAAACGCGAAAGUACACAACAUGCAACACGCAGCAACCCAAAGAAAAACAGAAGUCAAGACACGACUCGCGCAAAACAGAGGCGAAAUAACCCCAAAACUGAAACACACAGGACACGAGUCACACACAAAACACAGCCAAUGCGGAGCGCUAGGUUGUCAUGAAGUGCACUAUCCUCGGGGCGCGUUCCGGAAACUUCGCUCUGAACCAGGCGUAGCGGUCUGACAGAUAAACGAGGUCCAGGCUGGGUUCGCCAGGAAGGCACGAAGUGCUGGUAGGCUGUGGACGUCGUCAUACGGUUCCCAGGACGCGUCACGGCCACUGGCGGUAGACCACUGAACUAGGAACAUGACGGACGGCCGACCACGUCGGUUGUAACCUAGGCGAACGGCAGUAACGGUGGUGUCGGCGAGAUACGUGAAAAACGGGAUGGAUGCGGCCGAGGGUAGGUGGGAGUUGAAGGCGGUAAGCGACGGGGGAAAUGACCGCACUAAUGGUGAAAGGGCCGAUGUAGCGAGGUCGGAGUUUGGCGGAGGGGUAGUCGGGUAAGGUGAGGUUAGUGGUGGAGAGGCGAACACGGUCUCCAACUUGAAAAGUGAGGUUGUGGCGGUGUUGGUGGGCGGCGGCAGCGUAACGAACUUUAGCUGCUUCGAGUUCUGCGGUGAUGGUAGAAUGAAUGUCGCGGAUGUGGGCAUGGAGAUCAGCAGCGGCGGUGUGGGCGGGUUUGGAAGGGGGGGUGUUAAUCGUGGCGGGGGUGGUGGGAUGGAAACCAUAGUUGGCGUAAAAGGGGGUGGUACCGGUGCUGGCGUGGGGAGUGUUGUUGUAGGCAGCUUCGGCGAUGGGUAGGUAGGCAGCCCAGGAAUCUUGCAUGGGCUGAACGUAAGCAUGAAGGAUUUGCUCGAUGGUGCGAUGGGUACGUUCAGUUUGACCAUCGGUUUGAGGAUGGUAAGCGGAGGAAAGGUUGAGAGAAGUGCCUAAAUGUUCCCAAAAGGUGCGCCAGAUGUCGGCAGUGAAGCGGGGGUCGCGGUCGGAAACGAUGGUGGUGGGGAGGCCAUGAAGACGAUAGAUGUUGGAGAGGGCAAGGAGGGCGAUAUCGCGGGCGGUAGCUGACUUGUUGGUAGGUACGAAGUGGGCUUGUUUGGAGAACAUGUCAACGAACGUGACAAUGGCGGUGUAGGUGCGACCAUCAAGUCCUUUGGAGGGCGGUAGGUCGGUGAUGAGGUCCAAAGACACAUGAGUCCAUGGUCGUGAAGGCGUAGGCAUUGGAUGGAGGAGGCCAGGCGGAGGCUGAGUAGAUGGUUUGGAGCGCUGGCAGAUGGCGCAGGAUUGUACGUAGGCACGGACUGUGCUGCUCAUAUGUGGCCACCAGUAGCGGGUGGAGAUGGAGGCGAGGGUGCGACGAAAACCGGGAUGACCUGAGUAGGCGGCAUCAUGGAAUUCGUGUAGCAGGCGACGGCGGAGGGCUGGGUCAGCAGGGACAGCGAUGCGGUUGCCAAAGUAGAAGAGACCGUCAGGGGAGCGUUGGAGGUAUGGCUUGAUAGUGGCGGGGUUGGAGUACAUGGGGUCGGUGGUGUAACCAGAAAGGAUGGCGGCGGUGAGACUGGGGUCGGGAAGGACAUGGGAGGCGAGAGCAAAGCAGGUGUGGUGAAGCGCGUUGUUGGCGGGGAUGUCGACAGGUGGUUCUGUGGAGGGCCAAAGUGGAACGGAAGAUGGAAGGGACUGUAUGGGAGGCGGUGGUAGGAUGGACGGUGUGGGCGAGACGCUGGAGGGUGGGUCGGGGAAAGGCGGCGGUUGAACAGGAAAGCGAGAGAGAGCGUCGGCCAGGUUUUGUGGUCCAGGGCGGUAGGUGAUGGAGAUGUAGCCUUGAAACGGUGCGAGCAGUUGAGCCCAUCGAGCUUGGCGUCGCGAAAGGUCCUUCUGCGUGAAGAAACGCUGUAGGGUGUCAUGGUCGGUGCAUAGCGUGAAGUGGCAACCUUCAAGAUAGCAGCGAAACUUACGUACAGCGUGUACGACAGCAAGCAGUUCCAACUCGUGGAUUGGAUAAUUUGCUUCAUGUCGAUUGAGCUUGCGGGACUCGAACACGACGGGAUGAAGGGUGUUGUCUCGUUCCUGGAGGAGUACUGCUCCGAGGCCAAGGGUAGAGGCAUCCGUAUAGAGGGUGAAGGUGGCUGAGGGACCCGUUUGUGGAAUGAUGAGAGCGGGGGCGGAGGUGAGUGCGUUACGAAGAGCAUGGAAGGCAGCGACGGUGUCGGGUGGUAAGGUCUUGGGAAAGGGCUGGGUGGUUUUGGUAAGCGCGAUGAGAGGGUGGGCGAUGCGGGCGUAGUCCUUGAUGAAACGGUGGUAGAAUCCUGUAAAACCCAGGAAGGCGCGGACGUCGGUGAUGGUGGAGGGAAUGGGGAAAUGGUUGAGGGCUGCGAGUUUGUCGGGGUCGGUUGUGAUGCCGUCGCGGGAAAUGAUGAAGCCGCAGAAUUUUGUUGACGGCUGGGCGAAGGAACAUUUUGUGCGGCGGACGUGGAGGUGGUGGUUCUGCAAGGUGCGGAGGACAGCUUCCACGUCGCGGCAAUGGUCUUCGAAGGUGCGUGAGUAGAUGAGGACGUCGUCGAGGUACACGACCGCACACUUGUUGCGGAAGGGGCGGAGGACGUCGUUCAUCAGGGACAUGAACGUAGCAGGGGCUCCGGUGAGGCCGAAAGGAAGGACGAGCCAUUCAUACAGCCCAUACUUACACCGAAAAGCUGUUUUAUGCACGUCCGGUUCGUACACACGAACUUGGUGGUAGCCCGACCAGAGAUCCAGCUUGGUGAAGUAGGCUGCGCCGUACAGCUGGUCUAGGAGCUCGUCCACACGAGGCAGCAGGUACACGUUCUUGAUGGUGAGCUGGUUGAUCGCACGAAAGUCGACACAGAGGCGUAGUCCGUUGCCGCCGGGUUUGCGGGCGAACAGGAUUGGAGCGCCAAACGGCGACGUAGACGGGCGAAUCCAGCCACGGUCGAGGUAGUCCUUGAGCUGUCGUUCAAGCUCUUGGAGCUCUGCUGGUGACAUACGGUACUCGUGUUGCUUCGGCGGUUGGGCAUCGGGGUCGAGGGGGAUGCGGUGAUCGCAAGGGUGGGACGGUGGGAGACCAGUAGGUUCAGAGAAGACAGCGGAAUAUCGGUCGAGGAUGGACUGGAGAGGAGGCGGAGCAGGCGGUAUGGAGGCGGUGGGCUGAGGUGGGGCUUCGGGAUCGACUUCUGGAUCAUCGAGGGGACGAAGGAUGCCGAGGUAGACUGGUGUCGGUUGAAUAAAGGGGCCACGUUUGCGAGGAUUGGAGGCGGUGGGUGGUGGUGGGCGGGCGCUGGCUUGUCGAAUACAUUUCUGCAUGCGGACGGCGGAGACGAAUUCGAUGGCGAACAUGGGUGGCUGGGGGGUUGAGCCCGAAAGGAGUGUGUUGCCUAUCGUGACGGUGUUGGUCUGCCAAUCGAUGUUGGGGUUGUGCUGGGUUAACCAAGGCUUACCAAGGAUAGCGUCGUACCCGUCAAGGUCCAAGGCGUAGAAGGUGGUAAGCUCAUGAUGGGAUUGGAUGGAGAGGUGGACGUUGGCAAGGGCGGCGGAAGAGAGAGCGAGAUGUCCGUUGGCGAGGUGGACUCGGAAGGCUUGAGACGGUGGAAGAUUGGCGGGACGGAGGUGGGAGCGGUUGAUGAAAUCGUUGGCUAUGAAGUUGCGUGCGGCGCCGGAGUCAAGAAGGAUUCGAGCAGGGUGUCCAGCGAUGUUGGCGUCGAAGAUGAUGAGUGUGGAGGAGAGAUCGGCGGCUGUCAGGCGGCCGAGGAUAGGGGGUAUAGGAACCUGUGAAGUGGGUGUAUUUUCGUCGAUGGGUGGUAACGGAGGUUGGCGAAGACGGUGGUGUUGCUUGAGUGCUGGACGAGGGAUGGGUUGGGGGCGAGGAGGAGUGGGGCGAGGGGUACUGGAGGGGGUGGUUGGUGAGACGAGGGGAGAAGCGAAGGAGACGCGCGGAGGUGGAGCGGUUAUAAUGGUGGGUGGUUGCGGGGUAGGAGGAGGUGAAGGUACGGGAGCCGUGGAGGGUUGUGGGGUUGGGGGCGAGGGCGAGAAGCGGGCGAUGAGACGAGCGACGUUGGAGCGGGACGGUGGAGGUUGUUCCGCGGUUGGGGGUGUGAGUGGGUUUGGGGUUGCGAAGUGGUGGGUGAGUUGUCGAACACGGGAGGUGGUGGUAAGCGGGGGCGACGAAGUAGUUGACGAUGUAGGCGACGAAAUAGUUGACGACGGAGGUGACGAAAUGGUAGAGGACGGAGGUGACGAAGUAGUAAGUAAUGGAAGUGAUGAAGUAGUAAGUGGCGUAGACGACGAGGUGGGAAGAGACGGAAGUGACGACGUAGUAAGUAGUGUAGACGACGAAGUAGGUGGUGACGGAGACGACGAGAUAAGAGGGGAUGAAGACGACGAAGUAGGUGGUGACGGAGACGAUAAAGUAGGUAAGGAGGUAGUGGACGAAGUGGCGAGUGAGAAGGGGGUGUUGGAUGGUGGGUCGUAAAGGACGAUGAGCGGCCAGGGGGAAGGUCCUGGCUCGUCGUACCUGGAGGCGUCGGAGGGGUCGCGGCGGCAGACGAUCCGCGCGCCAGCAGGAAAGCGGCGCACGACGGUCAUGUGGCGUAUGAGGGGAGCCCAGGGGGCUGUAGGGCGGUCUGGUAAGAUGAUGAUGGCGGAGGUGCGAGGGUUGGUCGUUUUGGACUCCAGGUACUGGGAGAUGAAGGUCGACGGGGUUGAUGUUCGCGGAACCAUCCGGACGCACUCGCCAUCGACUUGGGCCGACAGAAAGGAGCGGGACGGCGAGAAGAAGGGAACGACGUGGGCGUUGAUGCCGAAGUCGUCGCAGCAGGCGUCGACAGUGAAGGGGCCAUACUGCGAGUCAAGAUCGAGGAAGACGGUGCACGAAAGCAUCCAGUCGCUGUCCACCCGGUGCACUUCCGUCGUGGAGGUUGCAGCAACACGAGCACGCAUACAGCCUACUCGGCGGGCGGGCUUACUGGCGAUCUGGGUUAGGCGCGAAACGUUGAAUGGCGGCGGCGGUGGGGUGUCAGACUCGGCUGACCGUUGCACAGCAAAACACACCGGCAAGCUGUGGCUAACCUGUUCUGCCGGUGGUGGCUUAAAGGCCACGUUAACGGGGACGGGGCGAGCGGCGGCGGUUUGGGUCGGCGCGGCUGUGCUGGUCAUCGCGGCGAGGGUGGGGGCUGUCUGAACGGGAGGGAAAGGUGCGUCCGCGGUCGUUGUCCUGAUGACGGCGGUCGGAAUUGUCGGUGCGAGACGGGGAGUGGGAGGGGGAGCGGGAAGGGGAGCGGCUUGCGGUUCGAGAGGUGGUGGAACGAAAGGGUGAGCGGUCGUUGGGGCGGGAGCGUCCACAAAAGGGUGAAGGAGGCCUGGAGGACUGCUGGCGUACCAGGUGAAUAAGGUCCGGGCACGAAAGCUUAUCAUGGAACUCCGAUCCGCACUGCAAGCACCGGCCCGCGUCCUGACGUUGGUGGCGGAGCUGGGCGGGUACGUUGAUGGUGCGGGUGCCCUGGGGUAGACGGACCAGGGCGGCGGAGGUGUCCAUCGGGUCGUUCCGGCGAUGAUCCCGUGGUCGUGGCGGAGUGGGGUCGUCGCGGAUGCGGUUGGCAGCGUCGCGCCCAGUGUUUUUUUUAAGUAAUAUAUUCCUUUUAAGGAAUAAAGAGGCCAUUUUGGCCUUUGGAAAUAAGGAACAAAUUGAGGCCGAUCCGUACAUUUUCAUUCCUCCAGCCAAAAACGUCCAUUGCUGCCAGAUUGCUCCGUAGUGUGCAGAACUUAGUAUUAUCGAUCAUAGAAUAGAUAUGAGGGGCCGUAAGAAGGUCAAGCCUGUGAGUCAACGCGGCAUAGCAGAAUGUAUGACCGGUCCUUACAUAGCCAAACACGCAAAAGGCAACGACUUGAACGAAUACAACGAAUGCGGCGAGGCGCCCAACCGGAGCGCUCGCACUGCCAAGCGGACAGCAGCAGCAGGGGCCGGUACAUGAUGAACCGGUAGAGUCCUAGUGUGCUGUGGUUUGCAGUGGUGGGUGACGGCCUUUGAUUUGCUAUGCGGUUGCUUGCUUUUGGCCUUUGCUUGGUCGGAUUUACUUUUUGUUCACAAACAGUGCCAGAACUAUCUAUGCAUGUGCAUGAAGAGUGCGCACAUGAACGAAAACGCGCCAACGCAGUGCGUGCCUCUUGGUCUAUGAGGGGAGUUGUAACUUAUCAGGGGGGGGUCUGGGGGGGGCGUACCCCCCCCCCAGCGCCCCACUCUUAAGGAAUACAUUACGGCGACGCUAGCAACUUUGUUACUUAGGUUGGAAUAAAUUGAGACCCCCCCUAAAUGAAAAAAAAAUCACUGGUCGCGCCCCGUUGAGAUGGUGUGCGCGAGGUCGAUUAAAUCCUGCAACCGCAUGCAGGAACCCAAAUGGCGGAGGCGUGAGAAGAGCUCCUCCCUUAAGUCGGCCCGUAGUCCUCUCGCGAAGAAGAGGACGUGGUCUUUCUCAUGACGAUACGACAGGUCAGCCAUGAGUUGUUUGUAUUUAGUGAUGUAGUGUUGAAGAGAGUUUGGUCCAGAACCCUGCUUCAGAACAAACAUCGCAAGCUGCGCGUCCAAUUCAUGUUGCAUUACCGGGGCCAAGGGAGUGACGGCUUGUAGGACGGCAUGGUAUGAUGUAAAACGUGUGGCGGGGUCCACGUUGAGGCGCCGUAGACUGUCGCCCAUGGUUCCGCGAAGAACUGAAAGGGUGAUUUUAGCUGCCUCCAGACUGUCCUCGGGAACACCGGCCAUAUCCAGGUUGUGGCGCAUGGUGAUGUCCCAGCCCCCGAUGUCUGCACGGAUAUCCUUGGGAUUAAAGGGGGGGAAGUCACGGGAUACAUGCAAGAGGUUCGAAUAAGGCGGCCGAGGUUGGGCGAUGGUGGGGAGGGGUGUGUAAGGUCCGGUAUGGGGCUGCUGGGCGGUCGACCAUGGGGCCGGGGGGAGUUCAGCCAUGGCGGCGCGGACGGUGGAGGUGAUAGCCUCCUGGAGCGAGGGGACGUAUGGAGCGGCGUCGGAGGUGGUGGGGACGGGGUCGACGAUGGGGACGGAAGGGGCGGAGUGGACGAUAGGGGGGAUGGGAGAGGGGUCGAGUGUGAACGGCGACAUGUGGACAUUGCCCGGAAGUUCCGUAGACUGCGAACAGGAGCGGUCGCGGUGGGCAUCGGUGGGGACGAGAGCCAUCGGAGGAUGACGAAGAUGAAGAUGACCAGCGAGGCGAUGACGACGAUGACGAUGACGACGAAGACGAAGGCGGAGUGAAGCGUAUAGGCCGGAUCGUCUAGAUCGAUACCAACUGAAAGGGAAUGGGCUCCGUUUCUCGUUGGGAUAUCUCAAAUGUUACAAUGAGGGCCGAGCGACGUAAGCCUGCUAAUCCAGCACAAGAUGUAAUAACGAUGACAUAACAAUCUAAACAACACAACGACUUAAAUAGUUAUCAAGAGCCUAGGCGGCGCCGGAAGGUCGUACAUUAUCCAUAUCCAAAAUGAUUGUCCACGAGUAAAGUUAACGACUUAACAACUAACGCGAAAGCCUAACAUAGACAGGGCCAUGUUGGCCUGAAGACCUUCCCUAAACGGCGACCGCGAUUCAGUGAGCUGAAGCACACAACCUCCCACACACAAUUUCAUGGUUCCCGUCAUUCAUAGCCACUCUAAGGUCCAUAGCAGUUGGCGGUAUAGGUAGGCGGUUGAUAAGUUGCGGUAUGCGCAUUAUGGCGGUUGCCCCCGACUAACAAGAUGCUGCCAGGGGGUGCGUCGGUCCGUCGGACGCCGUCGGAGUGAGCCCUAAUAUCCCCCAUACAACAAUAGUACGAAAAUAGUUCGUACAUAGAAGGUGAGGUCCUGUAAGCCAACCGUGCGCACCAAAUUCGAAGUAGACGACAUAGCAAUGAAACACAGUACGGCAAUACCUACAGUGUCAAACCCACACAUAUUCCGAAGAUCAACAAA
rnacentral:lncRNA from 1 species